rnacentral:rRNA from 1 species
CAACUCUAUGCGGUGGAUCACUCGGCUCGUGCGUCGAUGAAGAGCGCAGCC